rnacentral:tRNA from 1 species
UAUAAAUUAUAAGGCUAGCCUUCUGUGUUU